rnacentral:rRNA from 1 species
UUGGAGGGCAAGUCUGGUGCCAGCAGCCGCGGUAAUUCCAGCUCCAAUAGCGUAUAUUAAAGUUGUUGCAGUUAAAAAGCUCGUAGUUGAAUUUCGGGGUCAGUAGGUUGGUCAUGCCACUGGUAUGUACUGGUCUCACUGAUUCCUCCUUCCUGAUGAGCCGUAAUGCCAUUAAUUUGGUGUUGCGAGGAAUCUGGACUGUUACUUUGAAAAAAUUAGAGUGUUUAAAGCAAGCUAACGCUUGAAUACAUUAGCAUGGAAUAAUGAAAUAGGACGUUCGAUCCUAUUUUGUUGGUUUCUAGGAUUGACGUAAUGAUUAAUAGGGAUAGUUGGGGGCAUUAGUAUUCAAUUGUCAGAGGUGAAAUUCUUGGAUUUAUUGAAGACUAACUACUGCGAAAGCAUUUGCCAAGGACGUUUUCAUUAAUCAAGAACGAAAGUUAGGGGAUCGAAGACGAUCAGAUACCGUCGUAGUCUUAACCAUAAACUAUGCCGACUAGGGAUCGGAUGAUGUUAAUUUUUUAAUGACUCAUUCGGCGCCUUACGGGAAACCAAAGUGUUUGGGUUC